rnacentral:lncRNA from 1 species
CAUACAGCAUUUUGGUCUUUCCAAAUAUCUAAAGAAGAAUAAAACAAAUACAAGGUUGGGACGAAUUGAAUUCAGUGGGGGAUGGAGAGGGGAAGGAGUCAAGGUUCUUCAUCCUUUUCCAUGCUUUGAUAACUUUAUCUGUGAGAUCCUAGUUAAAAGAACAUGACUAUCUAAAGAAGUGAGUAAAUAACCCAUGCAAAUAUCUGGGGAAGGAAUAGUCCAGGCACUACAGGAAUAUCAAAAAGGCCAAUAUGACACAAGCAGAGUAAUGACAGAGUGAUAUGGA